UACAGAGGGUGCAAGCGUUAAUCGGAAUUACUGGGCGUAAAGCGUGCGUAGACGGUUAUGUAAGUCAGGUGUGAAAGCCCAGGGCUCAACCUUGGAAUUGCAUUUGAGACUGCAUAGCUAGGGUGCGGAAGAGGGAAGCGGAAUUUCCGGUGUAGCGGUGAAAUGCGUAGAUAUCGGAAGGAACACCAGUGGCGAAAGCGGCUUCCUGGUCCAGCACCGACGUUCAGGCACGAAAGCGUGGGGAGCAAAC
rnacentral:rRNA from 1 species